rnacentral:misc_RNA from 1 species
UCUCCGUAGGUGAACCUGCGGAGGGAUCAUUACAGAGUUCUCGCCCUCGCGGGUAGAUCUCCCACCCACUGUUAUCGUUACUGUGUUGCUUUGGCGGGCCGCCGGGCCCCGUUCGGCCGCCGGCUCCGGCUGGCGCGCGCCCGCCAGAGGCCCAGCAAACUCUGAAUGUUAGUGUCGUCUGAGUACUAUAUAAUAGUUAAAACUUUCAACAACGGAUCUCUUGGUUCUG